UUCGGGACGCCGACGAGUGGCGAACGGGUGAGUAACGCGUGGAUACCUGUCCUAUGGUGGGGAAUAACGUUUAGAAAUGAACGCUAAUACCGCAUAAGCCCUACGGGGGAAAGAUUUAUCGCCAUAGGAGGGGUCUGCGUCGGAUUAGCUAGUUGGUGGGGUAAAGGCCUACCAAGGCGACGAUCCGUAGCUGGUCUGAGAGGAUGAUCAGCCACACUGGGACUGAGACACGGCCCAGACUCCUACGGGAGGCAGCAGUGGGGAAUAUUGCGCAAUGGGGGAAACCCUGACGCAGCGACGCCGCGUGGGUGAAGAAGGCCUUAGGGUUGUAAAGCCCUUUCAGUGGGAAAGAUAAUGACGGUACCCACAGAAGAAGCUCCGGCUAACUCCGUGCCAGCAGCCGCGGUAAUACGGAGGGGGCUAGCGUUGUUCGGAAUUACUGGGCGUAAAGGGCGCGUAGGCGGUUAUAUAAG
rnacentral:rRNA from 1 species